rnacentral:rRNA from 1 species
UGGGGAAUAUUGGACAAUGGGCGCAAGCCUGAUCCAGCCAUGCCGCGUGAGUGAUGAAGGCCCUAGGGUUGUAAAGCUCUUUCACCGGUGAAGAUAAUGACGGUAACCGGAGAAGAAGCCCCGGCUAACUUCGUGCCAGCAGCCGCGGUAAUACGAAGGGGGCUAGCGUUGUUCGGAUUUACUGGGCGUAAAGCGCACGUAGGCGGACUUUUAAGUCAGGGGUGAAAUCCCGGGGCUCAACCCCGGAACUGCCUUUGAUACUGGAAGUCUUGAGUAUGGUAGAGGUGAGUGGAAUUCCGAGUGUAGAGGUGAAAUUCGUAGAUAUUCGGAGGAACACCAGUGGCGAAGGCGGCUCACUGGACCAUUACUGACGCUGAGGUGCGAAAGCGUGGGGAGCAAACAGGAUUAGAUACCCAUGUAGUCCCUGAGCGGGCUGGCAAGGCGCAU